rnacentral:tRNA from 1 species
AGUUAACAAAACUAGUAGCCUUCAAAGUAAAAAUUACCAAAAGUAAAUCUUA